UCCUACGGGAGGCAGCAGUGGGGAAUCUUAGACAAUGGGGGCAACCCUGAUCUAGCCAUGCCGCGUGAGUGAUGAAGGCCUUAGGGUCGUAAAGCUCUUUCGCCUGUGAUGAUAAUGACAGUAGCAGGUAAAGAAACCCCGGCUAACUCCGUGCCAGCAGCCGCGGUAAUACGGAGGGGGUUAGCGUUGUUCGGAAUUACUGGGCGUAAAGCGCGCGUAGGCGGAUUAGAAAGUUGGGGGUGAAAUCCCGGGGCUCAACCCCGGAACUGCCUCCAAAACUGCUAGUCUAGAGUUCGAGAGAGGUGAGUGGAAUUCCGAGUGUAGAGGUGAAAUUCGUAGAUAUUCGGAGGAACACCAGUGGCGAAGGCGGCUCACUGGCUCGAUACUGACGCUGAGGUGCGAAAGUGUGGGGAGCAAACAGGAUUAGAUACCCUGGUAGUCCACACCGUAAACGAUGAAUGCCAGUCGUCGGAUAGUAUACUAUUCGGUGACACACCUAACGGAUUAAGCAUUCCGCCUGGGG
rnacentral:rRNA from 1 species